GACGUAGGGCGCAAGCGUUGUCCGGAUUUAUUGGGCGUAAAGAGCUCGUAGGCGGCUUGUCGCGUCGACUGUGAAAACCCGUGGCUCAACCAUGUGGUCUGCAGUCGAUACGGGCAGGCUAGAAUUCGGUAGGGGAGACUGGAAUUCCUGGUGUAGCGGUGAAAUGCGCAGAUAUCAGGAGGAACACCGGUGGCGAAGGCGGGUCUCUGGGCCGAUAUUGACGCUGAGGAGCGAAAGCAUGGGGAGCGAACAGG
rnacentral:rRNA from 1 species